rnacentral:rRNA from 1 species
CCUACGGGUGGCAGCAGUGAGGAAUAUUGGGCAAUGGGCGAGAGCCUGAACCAGCCAAGUAGAGUGAAGGAUGACUGCCCUACGGGUUGUAAACUUCUUUUAUAAAGGAAUAGAGUGAGGCGCGUUUGCCUUUUUGUAUGUCCUUUAUGAAUAAGGAUCGGCUAACGCCGGGCCAGCAGCCGCGGUAAUACGGAGGAUCCGAGCGUUAUCCGGAUUUCUUGGGUUUAAAGGGAGCGUAGAUGGGUUGUUAAGUCAGUUGUGAAAGUUUGCGGCUCAACCGUAAAACUGCAAUUGAUACUGGCAGUCUUGAGUACAGUAGAGGUAGGUGGAAUUCGUGGUGUAGCGGUGAAAUGCUUAGAUAUCACGAAGAACUCCGAUUGCGAAGGCAGUUUACUAAACUGCCACUGACAUUGAGGCUCGAAAGUGUGGGUAGCAAACAGGAUUAGAUACCCUUGUAGUC